rnacentral:rRNA from 1 species
UGGGGAAUAUUGCACAAUGGGCGCAAGCCUGAUGCAGCCAUGCCGCGUGUAUGAAGAAGGCCUUCGGGUUGUAAAGUACUUUCAGCGGGGAGGAAGGUGUUGAGGCUAAUAACCUCAGCAAUUGACGUUACCCGCAGAAGAAGCACCGGCUAACUCCGUGCCAGCAGCCGCGGUAAUACGGAGGGUGCAAGCGUUAAUCGGAAUUACUGGGCGUAAAGCGCACGCAGGCGGUAUGUCAAGGCGGAUGUGAAAUCCCCGGGCUCAACCUGGGAACUGCAUUCGAAACUGGCAGGCUAGAGUCUUGUAGAGGGGGGUAGAAUUCCAGGUGUAGCGGUGAAAUGCGUAGAGAUCUGGAGGAAUACCGGUGGCGAAGGCGGCCCCCUGGACAAAGACUGACGCUCAGGUGCGAAAGCGUGGGGAGCAAACA